rnacentral:lncRNA from 1 species
CAGACCCUGUGAGAUCCAGAGUCUCAGAUAUUUGCAAAGGCUGUGGUAUCACCUUGGGGGCUAGAGAAGAGAUUUCAAAGACCUGUGAGGGCCCAAGCCCUUGGAGUUUGCAUAGGUCAAAACUAGUCCUUUAAAUUUCAGCAGGACAUCAGUUGCACAGAGCACAAGUGUAGUGUGUUCUCUUGAGUGAAACUCUUUAAUACGCCAGUAGCUGCGAUCUGCACUAGCUGCAGUUUCUGGUCAGCCUUAAGGUGCAGCCCCAUUUAAAGCACAUUACAACAAUCUAGCCUCAAAGUGGUAAAGGUCUUGGGAAGCCUCCAACUGAAAGGAGAGGGUCCAACCUUUGUGCUGAGCUCACAUGGUAAAAGUUGUUCUUGGGAGGUCCUGUUACCUGGAGUACAGAAUCAGCUGCAAUCUAAGAUGACCCUCAAGUUGCGAGUCUGAGAAAUGAGCAGCAAACGCACUGCCCUCACUAUAUUCUUCUUUCACACUGUCUUGUUUCCGCUUGCCUGUGAACCUUACGGCAUUCUUACCUGUGCUGUGGUUUAGCCAGCUAAACCCCAUUCUCUGCUUGGCAGUGGGUAAUUCUCUCAGCUGCACGCAAUGGGUGGGGUGAAAUAGAGAGGUGGAGCUGGGCAUCAUAUCUGUAUUGUAGACACGAUAACACCUGUUCCCUCAUCUCCUGACAGCCCCAUGGAUUUGGUGAGCAAGAAUGGUGACAGGAUGGAACUGUGCACUGAAAAUGCAUGAGAGCUGCUCAGCAGGAGGACAGGAAUGUUGGUGGUGAUUGUGUUGUUGCUGAUUGCAAUUGCUGUGGUUGCCGUCUGGCCAACACACUAACACAAGUACAGGAACCAUCAGAGAUGCCACUUAGCAGCAGCAGCAACAGCAGAGCUGGACAAUAUCAGAGGAUGCGAACAACUCCAUUGCAAACACGUUUUGUGUGUUAAGUAAACUCAGUAUUAGAAUGAAGAUGUUGCUGCACGCAAUGCACAGCCAGAGGGUUGUGGCUAGUUUGGAGCAUUUGAACUUCAAAAGGACUCUUUUCCUUCCUUGAUUUUGUACUUCAGAGGGACACAGCUGGAGAAGAUGCAUCUUUUAAGAGAUUUACCCUUCAGUGCAACUGACUCUAAGCAAGCAAUCUGCCCCUUUUGUUGAGAGAUCAGUCAUCCUGAGGGUUUAAUGUACUGUAUACUGCUCCUACAUAGUUUAUGUGGUAUAUGUGUUGAGUUCCUCCUCUCUUGCUAAAUGAUGAUCUUUUGAACCAAGAUUUUGCAUCUUAUAAAGAAGUGA